rnacentral:lncRNA from 1 species
GAUCAGGCUUGUGAGGUGGAACUAAGAGGAGGGAGCCAAAGCAAUGGCGUGAAGCAGCCUCACACUGCCUGACAGGACAAGCAGAGAUGUAAUCUCAGAAUGCUGGGCCUUAUAGAAGAUGCUAAUACUAGCGGGAGGGGCUGGGAGACAGAGUCCUACACGAGAAGAGGACACCAUUUGGGAAGAAGUUGAGAAUAAAUACCAAGUUCCUGAACCCGUUAACCUGCAUCGUGAAGGGGAUGCCGGAGCAGGGAUCAGAAGGCUCUGGGAAUGUCUACACCUGGUCGGCCAUUGAAAGCACUUGAGAAGUUAAGUACUGGUUCCUGGACCCUGUUCCAGAGCUACUGAAUCUGAAUCUGUGGGAUCACAUGUAUCUGCACAUACGUAAUGCAUCUAUACACACACAAACUCUGCAGACCGACUCUGAGCUUCAGAGAUGUGAGGAACCACCAGACUCGUUGGCAGUGCUGAUUCAAACGCCACCAUAUCCUUACCACCUACGACUUCAUUGCAGCAAGUCUAAAACAAAGGCUCUCUUCUCUUCACACACUCAUCGAGGUAAACGGUAUCGAGACCUCUGCAGUCAACCUCCACGGUCAGUCCCGCUAAUCUCCUUUUGAGGAUAUUAUACUGUAGCACUUUAAGAGAAGGGCGUGUCUCAUUGGGGUUUUGUCAGGCUCUUCUUGGCCAUGAGCUGGUUGCAAUAAAAAUUCUCUUUGAG